rnacentral:rRNA from 1 species
GACGAACGCUGGCGGCGUGCUUAACACAUGCAAGUCGAGCGGUAAGGCCCUUUCGGGGGUACACGAGCGGCGAACGGGUGAGUAACACGUGGGUGACCUGCCCUCAGCUCUGGGAUAAGCCUGGGAAACCGGGUCUAAUACCGGAUAUGACUCCAUGACGCAUGUUGUGGGGUGGAAAGCCUUGUGCGGCUGAGGAUGGGCCCGCGGCCUAUCAGCUUGUUGGUGGGGGAUGGCCUACCAAGGCGACGACGGGUAGCCGGCCUGAGAGGGCGACCGGCCACACUGGGACUGAGACACGGCCCAGACUCCUACGGGAGGCAGCAGUGGGGAAUCUUGCGCAAUGGGCGAAAGCCUGACGCAGCGACGCCGCGUGAGGGAUGACGGCCUCGG